rnacentral:tRNA from 1 species
GGAGCCUUAAGUUAAUUAAACUAAUAGUUUUCAAAGCUGUAAAUACUUCCGGUAGGCCCCA